rnacentral:rRNA from 1 species
GAGGAUGCCUGGGCAACAAGAGCCGAAGAAGGACGUGGUACACUGCGAAAAGCCUCGGGGAGCCGUGUGCAGGCGCCAAUCCGGGGAUAUCCGAAUGGGGAAACCCGCGCGAGCGAACCUCGCGCACCACUGGGUGAACACAUAGCCCAGUAGGAGGGCACGCGGGGAACUGAAACAUCUUAGUACCCGCAGGAAAAGAGAACAUUCCCUGAGUAGUGGCGAGCGAAAGGGGAGGAGCCCAAACCUGAGAUGACUGAGUGGUAUAAGGGCCUAAGUCAUCCGGGGGUUGUAGGACUCAAGAGGUCGGGCCUUAUCCGGACCACGGAGUGAGCAAAGGAAAAGUUAGUCGAAGCGUGCUGGAAAGCCGCGCGAGAAAAGGUGACAGCCCUGUAGACCAAAACGUUUUCUCUCCGUUUGAGCACCUGAGUACCACCGGGCACGCUAAUCCGGUGGGAAGCUGGGCAGCCCACUGCCCAAGGCUAAAUACUCUUGUUGACCGAUAGCGGACCAGUACCGUGAGGGAAAGGUGAAAAGAACCCCGGCGAGGGGAGUGAAAAGAACCUGAAACCGUACGCUUACAAGCAGUCGAAGGGCUAUACUUCCUUCGGGGAGGAGGCCUAACGGCAUGCCUUUUGGAGAAUGAGCCAGCGAGUUACUCACUGUGGCAAGGUUAAGGCAGAGACAGCCGGAGCCGUAGGGAAACCGAGUCCGAAGAGGGCGGCGAGUCGCAGGGAGUAGGCACGAAACCAGGUGAGCUACCCAUGGGCAGGCUGAAGCGGGGCUAGUCCCCCGUGGAGGGCCGAACCUUUCACUAUUGCAAAAGUGUGGGAUGACCUGUGGGUAGGGGUGAUAUGCCAAACGAACUUGGAGAUAGCUUGUUCUCCCCGAAAUAGCUUUAGGGCUAGCCUGGCGUGUUAAAUGCGGGAGGUAGAGCACUGGAUGGGCUAGGGGGCUUAAGCCUACCGCCCCCAACCAAACUGCGAAUGCCCGCAUUGGAGAGCGCCGGAGUCGGACUACGAAUGAUGAGAUCCGUAGUCGAAAGGGAAAGAACCCAGACCAUCGGCUAAGGUCCCGAAGUUUGUACUAAGUGGGAAACGAUGUGAGCGUGCUCAGACAGCCAGGAGGUUGGCUCAGAAGCAGCCAUCCUUUAAAGAGUGCGUAAUAGCUCACUGGUCGAGCGCGCUUGCGCGGAAAAUGUAACGGGGCUGAAGUACAGCACCGAAGCCAUGGCUAGGCGGAAGCCUAGGGUAGGGGAGCGUUCUGUGGGCAUGGAAGCCAUACCGGAAGGAGUGGUGGAGCGCACAGAAGUGAGAAUGCUGGCAUGAGUAGCGAGAAACACGUGAGAACCGUGUUCGCCGAAAGCCCAAGGGUUCCGACGGAAGGGCAAUCCACGUCGGGUGAGUCGGGCCUAAGCCGAGGCUGAGAAGCGUAGGCGAUGGACAUCCGGUUAAGAUUCCGGAACCGUCUAGAGGGAGCGAAGAGGGGACGCAGUAGGGAAGGUCAGCCGGGGGAUGGAAGUCCCGGUGCCAAGCGUGAAGGACGCUGAGGGGUGUAGGCAAAUCCGCACCCGGAGUUCGAGGCGUGAUGGCGUGCCGAAGGCAAGAAGUGACUGGGCUCUGCUGCCAAGAAAAGCCUCUAAGCGAUGAAGACUAGGCGUCCGUACCGCAGACCGACACAGGUGGGCAGGUAGAGGAUACCAAGGCGAACGGGAGAACCCUCGUUAAGGAAUUAGGCAAAUUAGCCCCGUAACUUCGGGAAAAGGGGCGCCUCUGAGAGUGAACUAUAAGCAUAGGGAGCUUUUGGGGGUCGCAGAGAAAUGGCUCUAGUGACUGGUUACCAAAACCACAGGUCUCUGCUAACGCGUAAGCGGCAGUAUAGGGGCUGACACCUGCCCAGUGCCGGAAGGUUAAAGGGAGAGGUUAGGCGCAAGCCGAAGCUUUGAACUGAAGCCCCGGUGAACGGCGGCCGUAACUAUAACGGUCCUAAGGUAGCGAAAUUCCUUGUCGGGUAAGUUCCGACCCGCACGAAUGGUGUAACAACU